rnacentral:rRNA from 1 species
AGCUGGGUUUAAAACGUCGUGAGACAGUUUGGUCCUUAUCUGCUGCGGGCGUAGGAUAUUUGAGGAGAUCUGUUCCUAGUACGAGAGGACCGGAAUGGACGAACCGCUAGUGUACCAGUUGUUCCGCCAGGGGCAUCGCUGGGUAGCUAUGUUCGGAAGGGAUAACCGCUGAAAGCAUCUAAGCGGGAAGCCUACUCCAAGAUUAGAUAUCCCGUGGGGUAACCCACCUGAAGGCUCGUCGAAGACUACGACGUUGAUAGGUCGGAAGUGGAAGUGUGGCAACACAUGGAGCUGACCGAUACUAAUAAGCCGUGCGGCUUGAUCAU